UACGUAGGUGGCAAGCGUUGUCCGGAAUUACUGGGCGUAAAGGGCGUGUAGGCGGCCUUUUAAGUCAGACGUGAAAUCCCUGGGCUUAACCCAGGAACUGCGUUUGAAACUGGAAGGCUUGAGGACCGGAGAGGGUAGUGGAAUUCCCAGUGUAGCGGUGAAAUGCGUAGAUAUUGGGAGGAACACCAGUGGCGAAGGCGACUGCCUGGACGGCACCUGACGCUGAGGCGCGAAAGCCAGGGGAGCAAACGGG
rnacentral:rRNA from 1 species